UUACGGCCAUAUCACGUUGAAACACCGCUUCUCGUACGAUCAUCAAAGUUAAGCAACGUUCAGCCUAGCCAGUAUCUAGAAGGGUGACCGCUUGGGAAUACCAGGUAAUGUA